GUUUUUCGUUUACUUUCGUCCUAGCACUACAAUCCCUAACCCUGAGUAUCGUCGCAGCAUCGCCGCUUUUCUGGGAGAGAGAGAGGGAGGAUACAGACGCCAAUAUAUAUUAUCUCUUAAAGGGUUUUAAGUGAUGAUGGAGAUUGGUUCACCUUCUCUUAUGAUCAACAAAAAAAUAGAAUUAUCGAGCCCGGUUUAACACAUGUGACAAUAUAUAGAACCCACAACGAAAAGAAGAACAUACCUCCAAAGGUACACUGCUCUCUCUCCUGGGAUAUAGAUGUUUUUGUAUUGUUAUUAUUUGUUUGUGUACUCCUCUAUAUUUAUUAUUUGCAUUAUCUUGGUAUUUGGAUCCCGAAUGCAAGCUACUGAUCUCAAGGAAGAACCAAUUAUUGAUCCAGAGAAUUACCUCCUUAUGUUAUUGUAGUCCAUGGACCUCCUCGGGUUGGCAAGUCUUUACUGAUAAAAUGUAUAGUGAACUAUUGCAACUCUAAUGGAGGUCAUGGAAAUAAGGUGAUCGUGUUAGCUAACCAGAGACAGAUACAAUUUGUGGAGUGUCUGAAUAAUAUUAAUGGCAUGAUUGAUGCUGCACAGUAUGCUGAUGCAGUGAUAUUCCUCAUCGAUACAAGAUAUGGGUUUGAAAUGGAAACGUUUGAGUUCCUCAACAUUUUACAAGUUCACGGCAUUGUUAAGGUUAUGGGGGUGCUUACAUAUCUUGAUGGCAUAAGAAAUGAUGAGAUACUAACUAAAACCAAACUGAGGCUCGUGGAUCAUCUCCGUGAUAAGAUGUACUCUACGGAAGAAAUUAGCAAACUGGCAAGCUUUUUAUUGGAUAUGCAUUUUCACCAUUUGUCAUGGUGAGCUAACCAACCUUAUAGAUUUAAAAGAUGUUACUCCUCGAUACAGAGUGAAAAAAGAUGCGAAAUGCAGCAGAGACAUAAUUCUGGAAGGUUAUCUUCGAGGUUGUAAUAAUAUCGAGAAAGGAACCAAGGUACUUCUUUUAGCUAUUUUUUAUUGUAGAUAAACUUGAUUGUUGUUUCACCAAUUUUUUGAACUAGAGAUGACUUCCAUCUUGUCUGAACAUACUGUUCUUGUUCUUGUCACAUUGACAACUAUGUCAGAUUGUAUUUUAUAUGGUUGUUUGUCAUUAUAAUUAAAGCAUAUCCAAUUGAUGUAACCUGCUCCUAAAUCACAUACUGCUCAUCGUUUUGCGUGAUAUGUUCAGAA